rnacentral:rRNA from 1 species
AUGGCAGCUCCGAGAGCACUCGUCCUCGGCGUCCUGCUGCUGAUCGCCGUCUCCAACACCGAGGCGGCGUCCGUCGUCGUCGGCAUGGCCAAGUGCGCCGACUGCACCAGGAAGAACAUGAAGGCCGAGGAAGCCUUCAAGGACUACGGCCCGGUACCCAAGCCUGAGCCGAAGCCGCAGCCCCACCCGGACUACCACCCCAUCCCUCCCACGCCCACCUACGGCGGCGGCGGCGGUGGCGAUGUUGGCUUCUUCUGGCUUGAUCUCGUUCUGCUUUGUUUAAAACAAUCAUUACUCUUAGCUACUAUUCAGAUCUGUGAAUUGAAACUCAAGUGCGAUUCAGGCAAGUGUGCAAAUGGAUCUGUCAUGGACAACCCAUGGCAUUCAUGUCAAAAACAAAAUUGCAGCUACCAGGGAUCAUGCAUUCAUAUAUACUGCCCGUUCCAUUUGGACUUCUUUCAGCCUAAGCAGGAGGGGAACUGGGCCAUGGUCCAGUCCAGCUCAAGUACAUAA